UACGUAGGGAGCAAGCGUUGUCCGGAAUCAUUGGGCGUAAAGCGCGCGUAGGUGGCCAUUUAAGUCCGCUGUGAAAGUCAAAGGCUCAACCUUUGAAAGCCGGUGGAUACUGGGUGGCUAGAGUACGGAAGAGGCGAGUGGAAUUCCUAGUGUAGCGGUGGAAUGCGCAGAUAUCAGGAGGAACACCAAUAGCGAAGGCAGCUCGCUGGGACGUUACUGACACUGAGGCGCGAAAGCGUGGGGAGCGAACAGG
rnacentral:rRNA from 1 species